rnacentral:rRNA from 1 species
GUCCACGCCGUAAACGAUGCUCACUCGCUGUAUGCGAUACACAGUAUGCGGCCAAGCGAAAGCAUUAAGUGAGCCACCUGGGGAGUACGAUCGCAAGGUUGAAACUCAAAGGAAUUGACGGGGGCCCGCACAAGCGGAGGAACAUGUGGUUUAAUUCGAUGAUACGCGAGGAACCUUACCUGGGCUUAAAUGUAGAGCGACAGAUUGUGAAAGCAGUCCUUCUUCGGACGAUCUACAAGGUGCUGCAUGGUUGUCGU